UGUGUAAGCGCAGCGAUGCGUUGAGCUAACCGAUACUAAUGAACCGUGAGGCUUAACCUUACAACGCCGAAGGUGUUU
rnacentral:rRNA from 1 species